rnacentral:misc_RNA from 1 species
AACGCACAUUGCGCCCCCUGGUAUUCCGGGGGGCAUGCCUGUUCGAGCGUCAUUUCACCACUCAAGCCUCGCUUGGUAUUGGGCGUCGCGAGUCUCUCGCGCGCCUCAAAGUCUCCGGCUGUUCGGUUCAUCUCCCAGCGUUGUGGCAACUAUUUCGCAGUGGAGUUUGAAGCGUUUCGGCCGUUAAAUCUUUCAAAGGUUGACCUCGGAUCAGGUAGGGAUACCCGCUGAACUUAA